rnacentral:rRNA from 1 species
UGGUCAAGGAUGGACUCGCGGCCUAUCAGCUUGUUGGUGAGGUAACGGCUCACCAAGGCGACGACGGGUAGCCGGCCUGAGAGGGUGACCGGCCACACUGGGACUGAGACACGGCCCAGACUCCUACGGGAGGCAGCAGUGGGGAAUAUUGCACAAUGGGCGAAAGCCUGAUGCAGCAACGCCGCGUGAGGGACGACGGCCUUCGGGUUGUAAACCUCUUUUAGCAGGGAAGAAGCGAAAGUGACGGUACCUGCAGAAAAAGCACCGGCUAACUACGUGCCAGCAGCCGCGGUAAUACGUAGGGUGCAAGCGUUGUCCGGAAUUAUUGGGCGUAAAGAGCUCGUAGGCGGUUUGUCGCGUCUGCUGUGAAAUCCCGAGGCUCAACCUCGGGUCUGCAGUGGGUACGGGCAGACUAGAGUGCGGUAGGGGAGAUUGGAAUUCCUGGUGUAGCGGUGGAAUGCGCAGAUAUCAGGAGGAACACCGAUGGCGAAGGCAGAUCUCUGGGCCGCUACUGACGCUGAGGAGCGAAAGGGUGGGGAGCAAACAGGCUUAGAUACCCUGGUAGUCCACCCCG